rnacentral:rRNA from 1 species
UCCGAAGGGAGCUAUCGUUGUUCGGAAUCACUGGGCGUAAAGCGCACGUAGGUGCACAGUUAAGUCAGGGGUGAAAGCCCGAGGCUCAACCUCGGAAUUGCCUCUGAUACUGGCUGUCUCGAGUCCGAGAGAGGUGGGUGGAAUUCCUAGUGUAGAGGUGAAAUUCGUAGAUAUUAGGAAGAACACCGGUGGCGAAGGCGGCCCACUGGCUCGGUACUGACACUGAGGUGCGAAAGCGUGGGGAGCAAACAGG